AGGAUGAACGCUAGCGGCAGGCUUAACACAUGCAAGUCGAGGGGUAUUGGUUUUCGGACCAAGAGACCGGCGCACGGGUGCGUAACGCGUAUGCAAUCUACCUUUGCAGAGGGAUAGCCCAGAGAAAUUUGGAUUAAUACCUCAUAGUAUAGUACUUUGGCAUCAAGGAACUAUUAAAGUUCCAACGGUAAAAGAUGAGUAUGCGUCCCAUUAGCUAGAUGGUAAGGUAACGGCUUACCAUGGCAAUGAUGGGUAGGGGUCCUGAGAGGGAGAUCCCCCACACUGGUACUGAGACACGGACCAGACUCCUACGGGAGGCAGCAGUGGGGAAUUUUGGACAAUGGGCGCAAGCCUGAUCCAGCAAUGCCGCGUGCAGGAUGAAGGCCUUCGGGUUGUAAACUGCUUUUGUACGGAACGAAACGGUGAGCUCUAAUACAGUUUGCUAAUGACGGUACCGUAAGAAUAAGCACCGGCUAACUACGUG
rnacentral:rRNA from 1 species